GACGAACGCUGGCGGCGUGCCUAAUACAUGCAAGUAGAACGCUGAAGGAGGAGCUUGCUUCUCUGGAUGAGUUGCGAACGGGCGAGUAACGCGUAGGUAACCUGCCUGGUAGCGGGGGAUAACUAUUGGAAACGAUAGCUAAUACCGCAUAAGAGUGGAUGUUGCAUGACAUUUGCUUAAAAGGUGCACUUGCAUCACUACCAGAUGGACCUGCGUUGUAUUAGCUAGUUGGUGGGGUAACGGCUCACCAAGGCGACGAUACAUAGCCGACCUGAGAGGGUGAUCGGCCACACUGGGACUGAGACACGGCCCAGACUCCUACGGGAGGCAGCAGUAGGGAAUCUUCGGCAAUGGACGGAAGUCUGACCGAGCAACGCCGCGUGAUGUGAAGAAGGUUUUCGGAUCGUAAAGCUCUGUUGUAAGAGAAGAACGAGUGUGAGAGUGGAAAGUUCACACUGUGA
rnacentral:rRNA from 1 species